rnacentral:snoRNA from 1 species
GGGAAUGAUGACCCCCUUCCACUGAGUGUCCCGGUGACGUCACCACCGCAGCGCACUGACC